AUUUUCAGAAAAUUAGAGGUGGUUGUCAAGAAACCCUCUGUCGUUCAAAGGCAAGCUGGUGAGCCUUUGGGAUGAGUGCCCGUUUGAGGGGCCACCUUGAUUCUUCUUUUUGCAGAGGUCAGAUUAGAUUGCUUCACAACUGGCUCAUCCACCUCCUCCCAUCAGCUGGGUGGGAGAGAGGCUGAGUCUGUGCAGCUCUGGGGUGUGCACAGCUAAAGUGCAGAAGAGAAGCAAGUGUUAAAUGAGUCAGCCAUUCACUGAGCAAACAUCAUUUCAUUUAAAUUACACUGUGCUAUUUUAUCUUGACCCGCAACCCAAUGCAACUCAUUGUAAUACAUUAUCACAUACAAGAUAGUUGGCUCAUUAAUAAUACCCCAGGAAGGAGACAGGGGUAAACAAUGAAAACUCCCACACAUUAGCACCAUAAUGUACUACAGUAUUUUUCUUUCCUUUCAUCAGAAUCCUCCAUGUAAUUAAAUCCCAAGUAAGUCAGCAAACAAAUCCCUCAGCUUCUUUUAUUGUACUUUUUUUUUCUGAAGUGAAUUAGUUAUUUUUCAUACUAAGUAGCAACUAAGCACAAGUCCUAGAUGGAGAUGAACAUUUUCCUACAGACAAUAAAUAUUCAUUGAGUGCUUGUUUGUGAUAAGCAAGGCAUCAGCACUCUGGAGUUGCAGCAGUAAAGACACAUUGCUGAUAAAUGCUGCGAUGAAUGCCAACCUGGAUGAAGGAAUAGAGAGCAUUUGGGUGGAAAGUGAAAGCCUCAUUAAGGAACAUACAGCCAGGGUUAAAAGAAGACUUACUCCAUCCAAGGAAUCUUUUAUAGAUGAGCAGAGGAUUUGGCGUUAUAGGUGGAUUCUUUACUGCUGAGCCACCGGGGAAGAUCCCAGACAGAGAUGCAGCCUUCCUCAAAAGUAUCCUCAGAUUCUGGAAUGAAUUCCCGUGAUGACUGCCUGCUGGCAUUCGUCUCUCCCACCCACCGCCAACCCUGUGCAAGCAUGUCCCUCAGUCAUGUCCAACGCUUUGCCAGCCCCAUGAACUGUAGCCUGCCAGACUCUCCUCUGUCCAUGGAACUUUCCAGGCAAGAAUACUGGUGUGAGUUGACAUUUCCUCCUCCAGGGGAUCUUCCUGACCCAGGGAUUGAACCCAUGUCUCUUGCAUCUCCUGCAUUGGCAGGUGGAUUCUUCACAAUUGCACCACCUGCUAAGCCCAUUCGCCUCUUAGGUAUUUUGUGUUCUUAUUUGUGAUGUAUGUCUUUUGUAUUCCCCUCCCCCUUGAGCAUGGACUGGACCUAGUUACUUGUAUCUAAUAUAUAGAACAGUAGAGUGAAGGUGGUAGGAUAUCCCUCCAAGAGUAGGUUACAAAAGGCCCUUACUUCCAUCUUGCUAGCACUGUCUUUUCUUCUCUCUUGCUCUCCUGACGCGUCAGCUUCUAUGUUGUGAGCUACCCUAUGUGAAGGCCAACAACUCAUGAGGAGCCGAAGUCCUCAGUUCAGAAGGUCCCCAGGGACUGAAUCCUGCCAGCAAGAAUAUGGGUGAGCAGAAGUGCACUCUUUUUUCCCCCCAUUUAAGCCUUGAGAUGCCUGACUGUACUUGUGUGAGAACCCAGAGGCAGGGGAACCACUGAGGCUGUGCCCAGAUGCCUAAUCUAGAGAAACUAUCAGAUUAAAAUGGUGUUGCUUUAAGUCACUAAACUUUGGAGAAAUCUGUUACAUAGUAAUAGAUAGACUUCUCUGGUGGCUCAGAUGGUAAAAUCAUCUGUCUAUAAUGUUGGACACCUGGGUUCGAUCCCUGGGUUGGGAAGAUCCCGUGGAGAAGGAAAUGGCAACCCACUCCGGUACUCUUGCCUGGAAAAUUCCAUGGAUAGAGGAGCCUAGUGGGCUAUACAGUCCAUGGGGUUGUGAAGAGUCAGACGCUACUGAUCGACUUCAC
ensembl:lncRNA